rnacentral:lncRNA from 1 species
GAGCUUCAAGUUGAUAUACUCACCUUGGACCUUGAUCAUUUUUUAUACACCCCUGAAUCAAUUAUUUGUGUUUUUAUGGCGAGUAUUUAGCACAUAAAAUAUGGAGGAUAUGAAGAUAAAGAGACAGGAGUUUUUGGGAAGGAGAGAAAAAGUUAGAAAUGGGAGAUGCAUGUGCCCCACGAGUGAUGGUUUGUGUUAUAAAUAAGUUACACUAGAAUAGGAAUUUCAAAAGAACAUCGAAGCAAAGCCAAAGAAGUUCUUAUCCCACUUGUCUACUUCAUUGUCCUUAACCAACAAUAUCUUCAAACUGGCCAUAGAUGGAGUCUUUUUCAUCCAAUUACUAGGUAGAUGGAGACUUUUCCAUCCAAUUACUAGCCCAUUGCCCCACAUAAGCAUGUAAAUAUGUGGUGCAAACUAGACCACGACCCAUGA